GACGAACGCUGGCGGCGUGCUUAACACAUGCAAGUCGAACGAAAAGAGGGAAAGAGCUUGCUCUUUCCGGAAUUGAGUGGCAAACGGGUGAGUAACACGUAAACAACCUGCCUUCAGGAUGGGGACAACAGACGGAAACGACUGCUAAUACCGAAUAAGUUCCAAGAGCCGCAUGGCCCAUGGAAGAAAAGGUGGCCUCUACCUGUAAGCUAUCGCCUGAAGAGGGGUUUGCGUCUGAUUAGCUGGUUGGAGGGGUAACGGCCCACCAAGGCGACGAUCAGUAGCCGGUCUGAGAGGAUGAACGGCCACACUGGAACUGAGACACGGUCCAGACUCCUACGGGAGGCAGCAGAGGGGAAUCUUCCGCAAUGGGCGAAAGCCUGACGGAGCAACGCCGCGUGAUUGAUGACGGCCUUCGGGUUGUAAAAUGCUGGUGAGCCGGGAUGAAAAGGCAGAGUGCGAAGAACAAACUGCAUUGACGUUACCGGAAAAGCAAGCCACGGCUAACUACGUGUCAGCAGCCGGGGAAUACGUAUGGGGCAAGCGUUGUCCGGAAUUUGUGGGCGUAUGUUCGCGCAGGCGGUUUCCCUAUGCCCUUUUGGAAGUGCGUGGCUUAGCCUUGGAUGGGUAGAUGACUGUUGAAGUUUGAUGUGGGAGAUGAAGGUGAAUUGUUUGUGUUGCUGUGUGAUGUUUGUAUUUGUGUAUGAUGUGUUGGUUGUUUUGUUUUUGUUGUGUAUGUCUGGUGUUGGGGGUGGUGCUGGGUGUGUGUUGUGUUUUGUGUUUUUUUGUUGUUGUUGUAUGUUGUUGUGUGUGUGUGUUGUUGUUUUCUUGUGUAAUAAAAUGAAAAAAAAUGAUGUUGUAUAUGUUUGUGUGUUGAAUUAUGCCCCUGUGUUGUGGUGUAUUGUUGUUUGUGUUUUGUGUAUGUGUGUGGUGUGGUAGGGUGUGGUGUGUGGUAGUGUGUGGUGGUGUGUUGUGCUGCUGCGUGGUGUGUG
rnacentral:rRNA from 1 species